AUAUUAUAUAGUAGUAAGGUAUAUAGUAUAUGUUAUAUAGUAUUAUAUAUAUAGUAUGUUAAGUUUAUUCGAAAAUAUUAGAAUAGUUUAUUGGACAUCGAUCCGAACUCUACGUAGUUCAUGACGGUGUCUCGGCAGUCUGACGAGCGCAUGUUCCACGGUUGCAGAGCUUUUCGUUAAUCGGAGCUGUGUAAGAUAUUUUGUGUAUCUGGAAAUUUAACGCAAAGUUAUAGCUUAUCGCAUCGGUUUGUUUAUGCUUUAUAUAAAUUGCCCUACGCGCAUGGAUGGACGAUGCAUCUGGAGAAGUGGACUGUGACGAAUAACAACGAACAGCAGGAGGAUUAACAAGAGGAAGAAGGAGAAGAGCGUUUAAUCGCUGACAAUGAGAAAAUGUAUUAUCUCGUUGGUUGCGUGCGAGCGUAGGAGGAGAAGUGUGAAACGAGGGGAGGGCAGGAAGUAGUAGCUCGUAAAUGUGUAAAUAAGAUGUGUAAAAAAAAAAGUGUCUGUUAAUGUGAAACGUUUUGCGUGAAGCAGAUAAUAAUAAGAGCGUAAAAAUAUAGGGUGAAAAUACGAGGUGUGUAAUAAAGAUGCGUAAAUAAAACAAACGCGUUUCUAACUUGGGUGUGUGAAAGGUGGAGCAGGGAAGGCAAUAGCGAUUUUGAUUCAGCAUGGGAAUUUAACAAAACAUGGGUUAAUUUUGUUAGAAAAUUGUAAAAUAUGUAAAAAUAUUGUAGACGUUAGAUGCGUGAAAGUUGAAAAAAGUAGGAAAAGAAGGAAAAGAGGUAAUACGUAAGGCAACAUAAUUUUCUGGAUGGCAAAAGAAUGGAUUUGUUUGGAUUCUAGGAGACUAAAGAAUAGAUAAAGAUACAUUUAGGGGAUAUGUGUGCCUUGUUUAUUCGACCAUCAACCAUAAAUUGUGAAAGUAGGCUUUAAAAAGAUAAAUGACAGAUAGAAUAGCUUUCAAAGGUUAAGAAAGGUAGUAAUUAUAUCUGGAAAUAUAUUAAUAAGGAAUAACAUGAUUGCAAUUUUGUAAUUAUACAGAUAAUAUAUGGAAAAUGAUUAACGUUAAACGACUUCCAUCUAAAGGAGUGAAAGGUAUUAGAAAU